GAAACCUUGCACGAUUAAGAGUCGUGCCGAAUUGACGGUACCACUGAAGGAAGCACCGGGUUAACUCCGUGCCAGCAGCCGCGGUAAUACGGAGGGUGCAAGCGUUAUUCGAAAUUAUUGGGCGUAAAGGGCGCGCAGGCGGCCCGUUAAGUCAGAUGUGAAAGCCCAGGGCUCAACCCUGGAACUUGCAUUUGAUACUGGCGGGCUUGAGUAUGGGAGAGGAAAGCGGAAUUCCUGGUGUAGCGGUGAAAUGCGUAGAUAUCAGGAGGAACACCGGUGGCGAAGGCGGCUUUCUGGACCAAUACUGGACGGUGGAGGCGUGAAGGCUGUGGGGAGCAAACAGGAUUAGAUACCCUGGUAGUCCACGCAGUAAACGUGAUCACUAGGUGUUGCGGGUAUUGACCCUUUCUGGCCGUAGUUAACGCAUUACCUUUGGAAUGGACCUUGAGA
rnacentral:rRNA from 1 species